UAACACACCACUUACCCAGAAGGGUCACAGGAGUAACACCCUUGCCACAGCUGGUGCAAGUUCUGCACAGUGAAUACAAUAUUCUGAUUCUUGUAAUGCCUCUUUUCUCUUUGCUUUUUUUUUCUUUAAUGAUUAUUUCUGGAAUGAAUAUGAUUGCUAUUCUUUGAGUGCUGUCAGCAUUCUGCUGGAAAAUAGACACAUGUUCCCUCAAUAAGUGGUAGUUAGUAAUACAUCUCUGUGUUCAGACACUGUUUAUUCUGUAUUUUAUAUACAUUGCUAAUUUUAUCUUUGAAGUCUGAUGAAUGUUUCUCAUGGCAGUUUGGGUGCCACUGGAUAUCAAAGUAGCUCCUAUAUGAACAGGUUUUUAAUUCGUCGGUGAAAGACUGUUGACAAUGAACAGAAGAAUGACCUUUUUUUUUUUUUUUCCCAGACAGUUACAAGUAGGUGGAGAAGUUAUUGCAGAACUUUGGGAGAACUAAAGAUAACAGCCUGGCCUGUAAUUUUUACUUUUUCUCUUUUUUUUUUUUUUUUUUUUUUUUUAACACAGAUACUUUGUUGUCCCAUCUCCCAUCUUCUCACAGCGUUGUAAGUAUAAAGAACUCAGAAAUCACUUUGACCAUUGUUUUAAGUAUCCUGUAAACCUGAGAAAAUCUCAAUAGCCUGGCAACAAGCUGCCUUGUAGACAGCUUUCUAUACCAUGCUUCAAAUUUCACUUCAGGUGACUUUUUAGUAAAUAAUGUCAAAAAAACCAACAUUUGCUGAUAUUGUAAAAGUCUGCAAUAUUUCUUAGUAAAUUUAGUGUACAGCUACAUUUUUAUGAGCAUCAAAACAACUCAUUAGAAGGAAACAAUAAGAAGGAAGACAAAGCGUUUUCACUCAAGAACUUAAGAGAAAAAGAAACUAUUAAGUCAGCACUGCAUUUUAUAUGGCUGAAGGGAAUUAUUUAAAACUGGGAAAUUUAUACUCUGCCUCCAGUUUCUUUAUUGAUUAUUGGUUUUAUUUAGUAUUUAAACAGCAUCCUGCUCUUUAUAAAGUUUAUCUGGCUAUUAAUGCUUAUCUCUUAGACAUAUGCAGGACACUUUAAAGGAAAAUAUCAUUGAUGCAACUGUUUCCUCAAGGUGUAAAAUCUAGGUGAGAGAGAAAAUGAUUAGUCACAGUGACAGAGUGAACAUUUGAGAAUCACUUUUUUCUGUGCAUAUAAUUAAAAAAAUCAAUAAGAUGAAUAUAUGGAAGUCAAUAGUAUUUACUAUAGAAGAACAAGGGAAAACAGAACAGCCAUACUUUGCAUUACUAAGGUUUUGGUCUGUGAUCAGGUCCUCUUGUGGGAUGAAACUUUGAGGGCUAUAAUAAAGGUCACCUUUGCUGUGCAGUGUUUGUUCUCUUCAUAGCGCUUCAAGGAGAAUGACAGGUGGUUUAGUUCUAAAAUCCCAAAUUUACCCUCUCAAAUUGUAUUCAGCAUAUUCAUCCCAUGAUUUAUUUUCUAGCCUGGUUUUUGCAUCUCCAAACUGUGUUUAUUGUAUUUUGGAUGAUUUUGAGAAUAUAAUUUUCCUGUUCAGUAUUGUGUGUGACUUAUUGAUAAAUAUGAAAAAUAUAGGUCUAAAAUCUAUUAAGUCUUCAUCCUGUGCUGUUUAUGGAAGAUUAUAGUUCUGUAUUUCUCCCCAAAGGAGAGCCUAUUAGGUAAUGUGAUAUACCUGUGACUAGUGAUGUGCUUAAGUAAAACAGACAUAUUGCAAAGCUGAGGAGUUUAAAUAUACCCACUUACAUCUCUGUGUUUCUGUGACCACUACUUCCAGUGCACCCAGCUGGCCUCGUGCUCAGGGAAGCAGCAGGGCCUGCGUGUGAAAUGUGCCUGUGUGGGCACCUGCACAGCAUCUUCAGCCUGCACACACAUGCACACACAGUCUGAGCUGAUGUCUUGUUUUAGUAGCCCUGGAUGUAAUAUCCCUAAUACUAACACUGGCUAGUCCUAUCAAACAACUCUGCUAACAUUUUAGGCUGAUGUGUUAUUGAUAAUGCUUUUUUUGAGGUAAGUCCUUUGUUUGACACCAGAAUACAGACGCUGAUAUUUGCACUGUCACAGGUAAUGACAGUGCAUUGAAUGGUUGUGUGAAAAAACAGCUGAUGCACAUGGUAAGAGUAGAACACAGUCAAAGAGAAUCAGCAAAGCUGGGGUUUAAAUCUGGCUUAAAUGGUGAAGAUUGUUUCUGACCAAGAGUAAUCAAGGGUUUUCACAACACGGAUCUGUAAAAUUUCUCAGGAUUUUGAUGCUGUCUGACAAGAUCUUUUACCCUGUGGUAAAGUGGAUACAUGCAAUGAUACAACAUGCUGAGAUCUAUCGAUAUUCUCAUUAGUACACUAUGACUUCAAAGCUAUAUCCAUAACUACUACAGAUGCUGUAGGAAUAGGCUCAAGUUAAUUAAUAAAUCUUAUUUUUCUAUCAGAUUUAAUAUGUACAUAAACUGCUUCCUAUGUAAAUCCAGUUUUCAUCUCUCUUCAGAAUGUUAAUAUAAUGGGUUUGGGUUGUUGGUUUUCCCCCCAUCCUGCAGUAUUUGCUACAGCAAUUCUGGGAAGAAAGAUCUUUCAGGCUCUUUUCUGUCCCAAGUGAGGAGAUGAACAAGUGGAUUUUAAAGGCAUGAAGUGUUCAGCACUGCUAUCCUGAUAUACUGCUUCUGACCUUUUCAGGCAGAGGAUGGCUGAGACCUGAGUAUAUGGAUCCCCUGUUUGAAUAAAAGAGUGCUUCUGAGAAAAUCAGCAGAGUUUUGAGUGCUGACAUCCAAGGAGCUGCAGUGUCAGUGGAAGUUUUGGGCCUUGAUCUAGGCUUUGCUGAGGGGACUCAUACUACUGCAUAAUGGAUCAUUUUUACCCCAGGAUUCCAUAGAAAGAAAAUCAUUCCCUCUACAUCAGAGACUUCUCAGAACAGCAGAUCAAAAGGCACCUGUGUUUUUCAGGAUUACAGAAAACUGGGCUGGCUGGACUAAAGAAGUGUCCCAAAAUGUCACCUGGCCUGGAGUUGCACUGUCCCCUGACUUUCCAUGUUACUCUAUACCUUUGCAAAUAAGGACUAUCCUUUCCACUGCCUUCUAACUUCUCAGGUGAAGAAAACAAGCAUGUAUGCAAUAUUCAAGGUACAGGUAAACCAAGGGAUGAUGCAGUGACACUAGUGGUAAUUUCUGACAAGCUCUUUGAUUCUGUUUUAACAAUUCAUAAUCAUCAUCAUCAUCAUCAUCGUCCCGUUUUUAAAGAUAAACUUUUUAUUUUCUGCCCACGAAAGCAUUAAGAUAUCUUUUCUGAGUACUGGCUAAUUUAGAUGCCAUUGGUGUAUCCAUGUGGUUUAAAUUGGUUUUCUUCUAGAUACAUCACUUUGAAUUUUUUAAUGCUGAAUUUUAUCUGCCACUCUUAUCUUUCAGUCACUCUGUAUCAUAAAAUCCUUUUGAGCCUUUUGUAGAUAUUGUCUUUAGUACCUUGAAUAAUUUGAUCACAUCAGUAAAUUUCAUCCUGUCACUGCAGAGGCUCUUUUUGCAUCAUUAAUAAAUAACUUGAGGCACACCAGUUCUCUUGUAGAUACUUGUAGAUCUCCACAGCUAACCCCCUCCAACCAUGGUGAAAAGUGAUUUUCAUUUUCAGUUAGAUAUUAUUUUGAGUAUUUUUCCUUUUAACAUAGGAGAAUUUAUGGUUCUCCUAUGGUAAAAGGAUAUUUUUAGAUAUUGAUGUAUCUCAAAAAAUUACUGAAAUUCCUGCCUGGAAUCACACUUAGGUUUGGUUCUGCUGAGAGCACAGAUGAUCCUUAAAUGCAUAUUUAGGACCCUGCAGACAGUUUGUUCUACACUGCCUAGAUGCAUGUUUGUGUUCAUGUGUUCAACACCCGGAACUUAUUAUGUGAUAAGUAUAACUAUUGUACCACAGGCUGGAGACACAUAUUUUAGGUGAAACCUGACAAUGGUACUUUGUGAAAUCUAUCUGCCCUUAUUGAGAGCAGUAUACUGGAGGUUACAGAUUAUUUUAGACAUGAUAAAGAUGAAACAAAAAGUAAAAAAGUCACAAAAUGAAUAUCACUGUUCAUUUUACAGCCUUUUUUUGAUACUUGAAAAUGUCCUCUCUGAAUGUGGCAUAUCCAGUCCAGCCCUGUUGACCCAACACACCUGAGGAAAUAACAAACACAAACUACCCAUGACUUUUCUCAGUUCACUUGAAGCACAACAGUGUAAUCCUAAAAGGCAGCAUUAACCAAGAAACACAGGACAGCUCUGAGCUCAGGAAACAUACGAAAUCAUUCUUCCAAAAACUACAUCUAGUACUGUCUAAGUCUCUUUGCAAUUAUUUUAUUUAAAAUUGCAUCAUAUCUUUUAGUAACUGUUACUUUUAGGUGAAUCUCAUUCUGUCGUAGCAAAAGGAUGCAGUUGAUAGGGAUGCAUAAAAAUUGUUGAAAUCAGAUGUAUUUAUUCAGAAUAUAUACUCAUGCACACUCAGAUAUUCUGCUGGCAUAUGUUUAUGCUAGCAGAAAUAAAAUGAACUACAAAUGUUUCCAAAGCACAGAAAUUUUAAGUGAUAAAAUGCAAUGUGACUGUAAUUUGGUAAUAAAUAACUCUAAUAUCACUAUAAAAUAUAAGAAGUAAAACUAUCAAAUAGCCUGUAGAGUUUAUCUAUAAAACAGAAAACUGAGUAUAUUGUCUUAUUUAUUCUCAUCUUCUAACCUGUCAGGAGAGCAUGAUGGCCUUUCAAAGAUGUAGUUCUUGAAUAAGAGUCAAUAUAAACCAAACUGUGUGGGAUUAUAUAUUUUUAGCUAAAUGGAUGCAAUAUGAUACAGAUCAUUAACUCUAACCACCUCAUCCAUUCAUCUUUACAACAUACAUAUUGAGGUUGCUGGAUGAGAAAUGCUAUUGAAGGCACAGACCAUUUUUAAAGAAGAGUCAAAUAAGUAAAAAAUAUUAAGUCCCUGUGAAUUUGCAUGAUUUUUUUUAGUUUAAAUAACAUUUGCUACAUAAACCCCUUCCCACAAAUGUUUACUAUAUAUCACCCCGAAAUACAAAAUGGGGAUUCAUUUACUUUGAAAUGAUGAAAAAACCAGAGUGGAGUGUUGUUUUAUUUUACUGGUGUGUUAUAUAUUACAUUGUUCUUUUUUAUCCUCCCACAAAGAUGACUCCUGUAAUACAAGGAAACAGUUUUCUAGAUGUAACUAUCUUCACCUAAUCAUGUUAAGUUACAGUGUGUCAUUUCUGUUACCUACAAUUCAUAUUUAGAUAAAUCUCACAACCUUCCAAGACAAGGAAAGCCCAUAUUUAUAGGCUAUGAGGCCAUAUUUCUAUUUCACAGAUAAAAAUUUAUUUGGUAGCAGAAAACAUCCCAGCACUUUAAAAUAUAGAUUUGCAAUGUGGUAUAUUGUUAAAAUUUAGUGCAGCUUUUACAUAUAAGUACUUCAUGGCUGUAUUUUAUAAUGAAAAGAAGAAUCUACAUUUACACAUUACCCUGUGGACUUUAUACUCACUGUACCAAUUUAUUCAGAUUUCUUGUCUAGACUGUAAAAGCAUUUUUUCCUCUCUGACUAAGGUUAAAUAAAUGAAAGCUUAGAUUUUACUAUUAAGGUCAAAGAAAUAAUACAAAAUUUGACUUAAUGAAAACCAUGAGAAAAGCUGUAAGUUAUGUUCUUUUUACUAAUAAACCACUACGAUGCAGUUGCACAAAGAGAUCACAGUCAAAAUAUGAUUCAUGGAGAAAAAAUAGCAGCUGUUAUGUCGGGAGUUUAUUGGAAAACUAACAGCUGGAUUUGAAAUCAAUGUUAUUAUUAUAUCUUUUGAUUGAGGUUACAUUAUAAGGAUCAUUUCCAGCAAUGGAACUGACAGUUCCCCAGCACUACUGCAGAGAACAACAAUUGAUCCAAAAUACGUACAAUUAUUGGCUUUCCAAUUGUUCCCAAUAAAAUACUCCUUAUAACCAGGUGGAGAUUUCCUUUGAAACCCUUUGAAUACUAACAGUUAUUGUCUACAGUUAUUUUUGGCUGCAUGCUUUGUAGUGCAAGCAUUGGUAUAACUGCUUCAAAUAUCAACGGUGUCUGUGAAUGCUAGUUGAACGUUAAUGAUUCAUAAUAAAUUAAAUUUGUUUCUGUAA